GUCCCUCUCCACUGCUGAUCUGGGAGCUCCCUCCAUUCAAGUGGACUCUGAGUUCUGAUGACACUCAGGCCCUCACUCAUGCUGUUCUCUGCCUGGAAUGUCCUUUCCCUUCCCUCCAACCUGCACACCAUGGGCCCUGGCUGCCCCCACCGGGACUCACUGGUCUCGUUAUAGGAAAGGACAUGAAACAUCAUGGGGGUGGAGGCUCACUCUGAGCAGGUGGCUGCUGAGGGUUGUAAGCCUCUGACUUGGGAGGAAAGGAGCCGGGGUGAAGACACCAUCCCGCCCCGCCCCGGGGAACUGCUAGGUGUGCCUGGCCCAGCCACUCCCAUAAGUGUGACCCACAGGGGUUAAGGCAGACUCUGAAACCUCCCCAGGGCGGGGCUGUGAAGCCCUCAGCCCCAUCCCCCUUAAUUCAAGGCCGUGUUUCCUCAGACCCCUGGGCCUGUAUUCUGAGAUGGCCCCCUCCACCGGUCCCCCGAAAGGCUACGUCUCCUCAGCCCCACGGGGCAGAGCUGCAUGCUUCAGACACGCCAUGGCGGGGCUGGGGCUCUGCAGUCCAAGCGUGGCUGUGCAAGGCGGGAGGACUCGGAGGGGGCAGGGAAGGAAGGAGGCAGCCAGGGACGGGGUGGGCGGGCCGGGUCAGGGAGCCUGGCUGCAGGGAGAAGUUAAUUGACCGCGUCUCUUGGCGGCAGCAGCGAGGGCUUCCAGGGCCAAGGAGUCUCCAAUUGGCUCGGCCGGCCUCGGGUUCUGCUGGUUCCACUUAGCGGAGCCACAUGCGCGUCCCUGCGCGUGCGCGAGUGUGGCCGGCGCGUGCACUCGUGUGUGCCCAUCUGUGCGCGUUCUCACGCGGGCACUGUCCGGCAUGUCAGUGUGGGACGCCAGAUGGACGUAUUUGUGAGCGUGCACGUGUACAGGUAUUUUUGGGCAUAAGGCAGCGCGUGCGCGUCUGUGAGUGAGGCGGCAGCUCCUUAGUGUUUGCGUCUGUGGGUGGCCAGUGGUUCUGUUGACUCUGGGGGCUGAGGUGGACCCUGAGAUAUCAGCUGGACCCCAGGAAGGGCUGGAACAGAUCCCCACGUGCUGGCAGCUGGCCCCAGCUCCUCUAUCCUAGUCUCUUUGACUCCACAGCUAUGGCUGAGCCGGCUGGCGCAGAGGUAGACAUAGAAUGGUGGGGCUUAAGGAAGCACACCUUGGACUUGCCAGGAUCCAGGGGCCUCCAACUAACCUGAAGCUCUCCCUUUGCCUCUGACAUGGGGGAUCCAUGCUGCUGAGGGGCUGAUCUCUGCCCCACUCCACUUACAGCAUCCAUUCAGUACCAUUUCCAUCGCUGCUACUAGUACCUCCAUCAGUAACCAUCGUUACCAUCACUAACACCAACGCCAGCAUACGGGUCCCUCCCAGUACUACCACCACCGCCGCUGGCAUCACCGUUACCACCAUGAGCACUACUGUAAGCAUCAACAUAACCACCAUCACCACCCUCUGCACCAUCACAACUGGUACAGCACCAGCACCACUGCCACCACCUCCAGCAUCACCAAGGCAACAUUAGCACCAUCACCAAUCUGCCACCUGCCCAGUGACUACCGUCUAUACCACCUUUGCCAUCUUGUUGUCUAACCCCUCCUCCCCACUACACUUCUCCUGCCAUCUCCACCUCUCUAAAGACAAACCUAUUUUGCCAUAUUUUCUCCAGCCGAUGGAGAACUCUGGAGUGACUGACAGAGGCUCCCACCCAUCCCUAGAGACUUGCUGACUCACCGGGCCUCCUAACAGACAGACCAGCCUACUGAUGGGACUGGGGGGCACCCCUGAUGGCCUAGACUACAGGCAGGCAGUCAUGGGUUGAAAACUGACUGGCCGUUUGGCAGACUGAUCACCGAAAGCUGAUCAACACUCCCCUCCCCGGCUCAAGGAAUUGGCUCAGCCUCUACAUACUGCUGUUGGUUUCACCUCCCCCACAGCCAGGAGGAGGCACACUUCUUUUUCUGGAGUUGGGAUGUUCAGGAGAGGGAAAGGUAUGUGCUUCCAGCACGCAUGGCUCCCACACUCCUUCAUCCAUCCACAGGGGUGGUGGCCCCACCUCUGGCCUCCCUGAACUUUAGGAUCUGUUUCUCUGUUAGUCUACAACCAUUGCAACAAGAAUAACUCGGGUCAGAGUUAAGGAAGUACUUUCCUAAGGAACAACCCCACACCAAGUGCACUCCCCCCUCCAAACCUUAGCGCACAGCUCUGUGCCUGGAAUGCCCUCACUCCUGUCCACUCUUCCCUCCAGCUAUACCCUCUUCUCCAAGGAGAUUCUGCCACCAGUCCCAGAGCAUGAAUCUCACCUCCAGCCUUGACUGGCUUCAUGUCUGAGAAAGUUGCUUAACUCAUCUCCAGGGUGCAGAGGACUCAGACCUGCAUCCUCUUAGAUCCAGCAGAUCUGCAAAUCUUGGGUUUCAGGGCUGAGGACUGAUGGACUGGAGUUGGGCUAUGGCCAGGGGUCACUUAGUCCAUACCCACCACUGAUAUGAGCCACCCAGCCCUGCACCAGGUGGGCACUCCUCCUUUGGUCCUGAGAAAGGCUGACUUGCCUCCUCGGCCCAGCCAUCACAGCGCUUGGUUUUAAUCCCCCCCGACUGUAACACAUCCUCUCCAUGGUCAACAAGGAGCUUUACCCAUGCCUUCUGCACCUUCUACCACAUCCCCAUUUUACAGACAGGGUCACUGAGGCCAAGAGUCACAGUUAGAAAAAGGAGGGCAAGGGAUGGAGCUAAGAUCCGCUUGACACUGAAGCAGCGGCCCUGGAAGAAGGGAAAGAAAAGAGGAAGUGCCCACCACAUGGACACCCUGGCACCAGCCAGAACAUCACCUUUCCACAGAGUCCUGGAUUUGACCUGCUGCGUUAAGCAAGUAUCCCUUUGCAGACCCUCUAAGGCAGCCUCCCCAAAGCUGAUUCAGGAGGGGAGGUGGGUAGACAUAAAGGUGACGGUGGUGCUGGUGCUGGUGAUGGCAGCUUGUCCUCGACUGUAACUGGAUAGAGGACAGCUGGGCCCUGGUGUUGGGAACAAGGCAGUUGAUGCCUCUAGCACAGCCAGAAGGAGAAAACCCUGGCUAACAGGAGACCCCUUCAUGACCUCCUGGCCUUCCUUCGGCCCUCCUCCAGGUUCUACUACUGGGACCCAUGCUGGCACCCCUGGAUGUCUACCGUGCCAGCUGGCUGGGACUGCUCCCCCACCCCUGCUGCCCUCUGUCUGUCCGGCUGGCCUGAGCAGGCUCCUCGUCCUGCCCCGCCACCGCUGACAAGUGCUGACUUUUCCUCCCCCUCACCAGGCCUUCCUGAACAGGCUGCCUGUGUUUGGGGCUGGGAGGGCCUGGGGGGGGGAAGAGGCACUGCGACGCCUCUCAUCCUGGCCAGCCAGCGUGGCCGCCUUGGGGCAGGCAGUGGGAUGUAGUCUGGGAUAGCGGAGUUGGCUGCUAGGACCUGGUGGAUCUUCACAAGCAGACCCUACCUGGGCUAAGGAAUCAAGGCCCAGAUGAACGGUAUGGCCUAAUCUAGCCAUCGCCUGCUCAAUAGAAUGAGAUCCCACUAGGUCUCACCUCGGGCACAAGACUGGCCCCAGAGUUGGGGCUUUUAAGGGUUUGAAGGUCUCUGAUGUUUCUACAAACCUGAGCAAACGUUUGCGCCCUUCUUCCAGUCACACCAUAUUUUGCAGACAAUUUCAGAGGGCUGCAAAACCCUCGCCCCACCUUUUCUUUUUCCUGAGGACUCUCCUUCUGAAAUAGCUGCCUUCCUGAUGUGGUGGCUGGACCCGGGAGUGUCCCCAGAAGGCCCACAACUGGAAUCUGGGGGAGGCUACUUGACGCCUCAUUAAAACAUUCCGAAGAAAACCCAAGUUCCUGGGAGGGCUCGGCCCCUCCUACUGCUCUGUCCAUAGGCCAUUUCAAGAGCUGGGGGGAACGUGUUGAAAGGCAGGUGACAUAAAAAGCGUCAACAAAUCAAUAUGAAAAAGGCAAAUAACCCAUAGAAGUAUGGUUAAUGGCUCAGAGCAAGCUCUCUUAGAAGAUGGAUCAUAAACCACGGUAAAGCCCAAAAGUCAUUGGUAAUCAGCAAAUUAAAAUGACAAGACACACCAUUUUUCACCUAUCCACACAAAGGUGAAACACAAAGAAUCUUCAUAACAUCCUAUGAGAUAGUGGGCAUGGGAGAGAGGCCCUCCUGGUCAGUCUUGGUGUUGUAUAAGUACAAAAGAGCACAAGCUUUUUAGAGGGCAAUUUGGUCAUGCUAUUAAAACAAAAAAUGCAUAUCUCAGACCCAGCAAUGACAAAAUCUAGAAAUAUCCUACUAGGAAACAGUCACAUGGAGUCGCCAGAGGGCAUUUCAAGGAGCUUCCCUGCCACCAUCCGGAAUAACGCACACAGACACACAUGCAAAUUGUGCAGAAAUGAUCUAAAUGUACAUUCCUAUGCACUACUUAAUGAGUCCCAGGUUUUGGAAUACUAUGUAGCAUUUAAAAAGAUAGAUUCAUAUUUAUUGACAUGAAGAUCUCUAAGACACACCUUUAAGUCAAAAUAUAUAUGUGGCAGAGCCCUAUCUAGAAACCGAUGCCAUUUAUUUAAAAACAAUCAACCAAGCAAAUAGAAAACGACAAAAUUCAACUAUCUCCUUGAUACGUACACAAAGAGGUACCAUUCAGAAACACACAGAAAGAGGAAGGAGAAUGCUCCUCUACUCAAACUGCUAAAAAUGGUUUUCCCUGGAAGGGAAUGGGCUUAGGAGUGAUCAAGGAGGGCUGCUGUUUAAUUUUUAUUGAUUGAUUUAAUUUUUUUUUUUUCAGAGACAGGGGCUGACUCUGUUGACCAGGCUGGAGUGAAGUGGCAUCAUCAUAGUUCAUUGCAGCCUUGAACUUCUGGGCUCAAGCGAUUCUCCCUCCUCAGCCUCUCAAGUGUCUGGGAUUACAGACUUGCUUGACUCUUUUAUAAGAACAUAUUCAUAUAUCAGUUAUGAAGUUAAAAAAAAGAAAAUAACAGAAGGAUUUAAUUUU